AUUUCGUUUUGUCUUUAAUGUUCAGGAUUGUGUUGAAGGUUCAGUUUCUGCUACAAAACAGAGAACAGGCUCCAUUGGAGAUCGCCCAGCAAGACCGACUCUUUUAGAACAAGUAUUGAAUAAAAAGAGGCUGUCCCUGCUCAGAAGUCCAGAAGUUGUGCAGUUUCUACAGAAACAACAGCAGCUGUUAAGUCAGCAGGCUUUGGAACAACGGCAGCAGCAGUUUCAAGGAGCACCUGGGUAAUGAGAACAGACCAUGACCUGCAGAUGAGUCUGGUGCUGAAGGAGGAAUGGGAUGUAUAUUUUCUUCAAAUAUAAGAAAAAGAAAAUGUAAAUGUUUAAAGGAAAAGUAAAGCUGCUGUCGUGUAUUUUACUUGGUUCUUGUUUGCACUUUGAUGUUUUGAGCUGCUUGGGUGUCUGCAAACUUGUGAGCAAAUCUGGAGGAGUAUCUUUUUGAUUCUUUUUAAAACUUAGUUUGAUUUUUCUUUUUUAAUGAAAAUUUAUGUCAGUAACAUUUAGCUGUACACCCUUUUCCUACCAAAGUCUUCCACUAAAUUAACAUUUUUCUAUAUGAAGAUUUACUGUUACACAAGUCACUCUUUGAUGACAAUCAUUGAAGGAAGUCAGUUACUUUCUAUGGAAGUUGUGAGAUAGAGUCCAAUCUGAGCCAGUCCUGUGGCAUGACUUAACAGCAAUUCCUCAGGGAUAUGAGAAGCUUAUAUCCAGUAUAACCUUGCACUAAAGGCUAAAGACAACGUGCCAUCAAGAAGUCAACCAGUGGCUCAGAAAAGUGUAAAUCAGGUGAUCCUCCUGCUUUGUAUUAAUUAUAUGCAAGUUGAGUAGGUUUGAAAUACUUCACUGUCUGUGCAAAGGAACAUUAAGGAAUAUUUGUUGAAAGUCUCCAAAUGGGAGAAACAGAAAAGUGCUUUCGACAAGAGUUAGAGAUGUAAUGUACGCAGUAGAGGGUUGGACCCUGUUUUGUGAAGUCAUUUUGGAGGCCCAACUUGUAACAUGUGGAAUCCUCUUUUGUGAGUGAAUAAGUUCAAGCUUUUAACUCAAACGGCUUAAGGUUUUUAACAGUGAAUGCAUCCAAAAUGUAAAACGGGGUUGUGCAUUUGUUGUCCUUUCUCUUCCAAAAAGGUGUAGUUAAAGUUAUGUUAGUAAGAUCACGCAUAGCAAACCAGCACAAGUGCUGGACUUCUCAGGUUUACAGCCAGUUCAGACAAACUUGCAGUUGAUUUGGUUAAGAAUCCAAACGCUUUAUUAUCUAAGUAAUGAAUCCCAAGUUUUGUAUUAAAACCUUGUUUCCUAAUGGAAUCUAUCUGAAUGGUGGAGGUGCGUACUGAAGUACUACUUUGAUACUGCAGCAGUUUGAUCCACUGUAUAAUACCUGUUCAGGAGUAUUUGUCCGUCUUAUGGGUUUUUUUAUAAGCUGUUUUUUGUAUGUAUAAAAACUGUUCAGUAGAGAUUUUUGUAUUCAACAUUGUGUAAGUUGUUCUUUUAAAGAAAAAAAAAAAAAAAGAAAUCCAAAAACUUUGUACCGACUGUUCUGGACCAACAAGUGUUUGAGUAAAUCUGUGUUGUUUUAUUUGAUUUCUUGUUUGAUGUUGUUUGGUUACAUUUGUAUGUUGCUUUGUGGGGGCUUUUUUUCUGUAUUAAAAUGGCCAGCUCUGACUAGGUCACAUGAAAA